UACGUAGGUGGCAAGCGUUGUUCGGAAUUAUUGGGCGUAAAGGGCGCGUAGGCGGCUUGUUAAGUCAGCUGUGAAAGCCCGGGGCUCAACCCCGGAGGUCAGCUGAUACUGGCUAGCUAGAGUACGGAAGAGGUAGCUGGAAUUCCCGGUGUAGCGGUGAAAUGCGUAGAGAUGUGGAGGAACACCAGUGGCGAAGGCGACUCUUUGGCCUGUAACUACGCUGAGGCGCGAAAACGUGGGGACAA
rnacentral:rRNA from 1 species